ACCUGCCCUAUGAUUAAAAAUUUAAUGGCUGCGGUAUUUUGACCGUGCAAAGGUAGCAUAAUAAUUAGUUUUUUAAUUGGGAACUGGUAUGAAAGGUCGAACGAGAGAGAGACUGUCUCAAUUUAAUUUAAAUUAGAAUUUUAUUUUUAAGUAAAAAAGCUUAAAUGUGUUUAAAAGACGAGAAGACCCUAUAGAGUUUUAUAUUAAGAUAAUUAUAUAGGAAAUUAAAGAAUUAUUUUUUUUAUAAUUAUUAAAAUAUUUGGUUGGGGCGAUUAAAAAAUUUAAUAAACUUUUUUUAAAUUAUAACAUUGAUUUAUGAAUAAGUGAUCCAUAUUUAAUGAUUAUAAGAUUA
rnacentral:rRNA from 1 species